rnacentral:rRNA from 1 species
GAUGAACGCUAGCUACAGGCUUAACACAUGCAAGUCGAGGGGAAACGAUAGAGAAAGCUUGCUUUUUCUAGGCGUCGACCGGCGCACGGGUGAGUAACGCGUAUCCAACCUGCCCAUCACUUGGGGAUAACCUUGCGAAAGUAAGACUAAUACCCAAUGAUAUCUCAAGAAGACAUCUGAAUGAGAUUAAAGAUUUAUCGGUGAUGGAUGGGGAUGCGUCUGAUUAGCUUGUUGGCGGGGUAACGGCCCACCAAGGCGACGAUCAGUAGGGGGUCUGAGAGGAAGGUCCCCCACAUUGGAACUGAGACACGGUCCAAACUCCUACGGGAGGCAGCAGUGAGGAAUAUUGGUCAAUGGACGGGAGUCUGAACCAGCCAAGUAGCGUGCAGGAUGACGGCCCUAUGGGUUGUAAACUGCUUUUAUAAGGGAAUAAAGUGAGUCUCGUGAGACUUUUUGCAUGUACCUUAUGAAUAAGGACCGGCUAAUUCCGUGCCAGCCGCCGCGGUAA